GGUAGCGUGGCUGAGCGGUCUAAGGCGCUGGUUUAAGGCACCAGACUCGAAAGAGGCGUGGGUUCGAAUCUCAUCGCUGCCA
rfam:Nematostella vectensis strain CH2 x CH6 NEMVEscaffold_2470_Cont41950, whole genome shotgun sequence.